GAUGAAGAACGUAGCGAAAUGCGAUAAGUAAUGUGAAUUGCAGAAUUCAGUGAAUCAUCGAAUCUUUGAACGCACAUUGCGCCCGCCAGUAUUCUGGCGGGCAUGCCUGUUCGAGCGUCAUUUCAACCCUCAGGCCCCCAGUGCCUGGUGUUGGGGAUCAGCCCAGCCUUCCUGUAAGGCCGCCGGCCCCGAAAUCUAGUGGCGGUCUCGCUGUAGUCCUCCUCUGCGUAGUAGCACAACCUCGCAGUUGGAACGCGGCGGUGGCCAUGCCGUUAAACACCCCACUUCUGAAAGUUGACCUCGGAUCAGGUAGGAAUACCCGCUGAACUUAAGCAUAUCAAUAAGCGGAGGA
rnacentral:misc_RNA from 1 species